rnacentral:lncRNA from 1 species
AACCCUUGUGAGCCUGAGAUGGGGGCAUCAAAUCAUACGAGCAUCCCAGUGCUCUUGUUGAAGGGGCUUCUCAGGGGACAGAGGUGAAAUGGAACAGAUGUGGGCCUGGGGCCUGGGCAUUUACUCGGAUGGGGAGCGCUAAGGACAACCCAGGGAAAUGAGGCGGAAGUCAGAACCGAGGAACAAGGGAGACAAGGUGCCUUCCAGUAGUGGUUCAACACAGUUCUGCAAAACACGACACUCUUGAUAAGUUUAUCCUGUGAUAGAAGGAGAUGAAAACUCAGAAAUGACUGCUAGCCUGGACAAGUCCAAGUCUGUGAUUCGAGUGCCACAGCAAUCUAGUAAAAUUAUCUGGAGAGAAAAACCCUUGAUAUGCAGGUGAGGAGCAGCUGAUGUCUGAAGUCUGACAUGGCAAGAAAGUUCCAGAUUCUGGAAGAAGAAACUAAAUCCAUGAAAACAUAAGUGAGAGCACUACAACCAGAUUAAAACAAUAUGGACAAUUGAAAAAAGACUGAGAAUGUUCACAUACAUUGCUGGGGCCUGUGAGGAGAGUUAGGUCCCGUGUCUGCUGCAGUGCUGGUUGCAAAGAGCAGAGAGCCCGCAGCUCCCCUGGGAGAAGAAGGCAGGGGACAUGAUGUAGGGUCAGGGUGUGGAGACAAAGUUAAUGGCACGGAGAAGGGAUCAGGAGGAAGCUGCGCGGUCCAGUGGGCACUGAACAUUCAGGACCGGGAGAAAAUAUCAGUUCUACCCCAAGAUUGCUAAGAAGAGGGGAAAAGCCCACUGGAUAGGUCAUCAUAGAGGCGUCCACACUGAGAGUGUCACCUGAAAGAGCAGGUCAGAAUCUUAGGCAAGAGCAGAAGAAAGGACCGUACUUGGUUGAAAGACAGAAAUGGAGCAUCCUGUAUAUGAGCUGACCUGCACAGCACAGGUGGCAUGGUGUGUCAAAGCAGAUGACCUGGUGGCCCACGAAGAGGAAGGGCUGGCGACCUACAGAAAGCAAUUCAAAGAUCUUGGGGGAAAACUGGAAAGAAUAAUUUCUUCUUUUCAGAGACAGAUCCUGUCCCAGGAGGGAAGAGCUCAUGAUCACUGGUGGAAGCUUGGAGGAUGAAUAAAACCUCAUUAUUUCCAGAUGGGAGAUCACAGACCUGAAACAAAGAGAACUAAAAAGACAAUUUAUCUCAAGCCUCUUGUUUGUAAUUUUAAUUUUUAAUUUUUGUGGGUACAUAGUAGGUGUGUAUAUUUAUGGGGUACAUAUGGUAUUUUGGUACAGGCAUGCAAUAUGUAAUAAUCACAUCAUGGAAAAUUGGGUAUUAAUCCCCUCAAGCAUUUAUCCUUUGAAACUGCUGCUUCUUCUCCUCCUCCUUCUUCCUCUUCUUCUCCUCCUUCUCCUCCUUCUUCUCCUCCUCAUCUUCCUCCUGCUCCUUUCUUCUUCCCUCCUCCUCCUCCUCUCCUCCUCCUCCUCCUCUCCUCCUCCUCCUCCUUCUCCUCCUUCUCCUCCUCUUCUUUUUAAGGGCAGGGUCUUGCUCUGUCACCCAGGCUGGAGUACAGUGGUAUGAUCAUGGCUCACUGCAGCCUCAACCUCCUGGGCUCAAGCAAUUGUCCUGCCUCAGCCUCCCAGGUAGCUGGGACUACAGCACCUCAAGCUUCUUGAAGUGGAUCUUAAUGCAUUUGACAAUCCUGGUGGGGCAUUAGGCAGAGAGUAAAUACAUCCUGACCUCUGAGACCGAAGUGUCCCUCGUGCUUCUCCUCAGACCCUCCCCUUGGCUGCCAGGCUGUGUUCCCCUCCCCUCUCCUUCUCCUUCUCCCUCCUCCUCUGCCAUUCUCCAAUCCAGUGCUUCGUGUGCAUCCAAACGGAGAGGAGCGGUCUUGUUAAAGAGCACUCCCUCUUCCUCCACCUCCUCCAGGACUCUACGCACCCCGCAUCCCAGCUGGCUCCCCAGCAAGGGGUCUUAGGCCUCCUUUUUCUCCAUCACAGUCUGGGUUUUUCUGGCACACCUCUAUCCAGAAAAUGGAAGUGACUUACCUUUUGGUUUCCCUCAGCCUCCAUCUGACCCUAGCAGUAAAAAUCCUGAAACACUGCAAAGACAUCAAGUCAUUAGGUUUUGUCUUUUUUCCUUGAAAUAUUGUUGACUUCUAUAUAUUUAAUUUUAGGAUAGAUAGCUGUUUUUUUAUGCAAGUGAUUUUAUUUUCUCUCAUUUUGCUUCUUGAUACUAAUAUAAAUUUCAGGUUAGAUUUAGAAAAUAAAGAUCACUUGAAUACUCCUGUUACAUUAUACGCUCUAGAAAAUGUAAGUAGCAGAGUUUUAUCUGAUAAGUCAGUCUACAUGAUCAUAUAACAUCAUCCGUGAACAGUUUAUCCCAUGGGGACAUUGAAAGUAGAAAACACUUUUCCAUCUGUUAAUGUUUGUAUCUGCCGCUGUUACAGGAAAAGGGUGAAAAUGACUUGAUGGUCCCAGUAAAUUACAGUCGAAUUAAAGCAUGGUCAAGGUGUGGUGGUCAAACGCAGAAGGCAGUCUGUGGAGUGGGGAGUUCUGCAGGCUGGGGCCCCUCUGUCUGCUGUGCUCUCGCUGUGCAGGGCUCUGGAAGGGUGAGCCCAGCCACAGCUGCUCAGUGAGGAGGGAGACAGGCUCAGGCUGUGGCUCUUUAACUCCCCAGGAGACCUGGGCCACUGGGACCCCAGAAUCUUCAUUUGGAGCAACAGUUCUUCACAAAGCUGUCUGUAGGCUUCACAGACUGAUGCCCUUGGUAGCAUCUUGUGCCAGGCCUCAGGAUGGGCCUGGGUCCUUGCUUCUGGAGAAUAGAGUAUGGAGGUGGCUCCUGCCAGCCUGAGAUAGAGUCAAGUGUGUCUCCAGGGUUGUUGUAGUUACUGAGCAGAGUCUUGUGUCUGAGACCCAUAUGCAUUAGUCUGCUGGGGCUGCCAUAACAAAGGCCUGCAGACUGAGUGGCUUAAACAACAGACAUUUGUUUUCUCACAGUUCUGGAGGCUGGAGGUCCAACGUCCAGGUGUUGGUGUUGGCAGAGUUGGUUUCUCCUGAGGCCUCUUUCCUUGGCUUGCCUUCUCCCCUUGUCCUUACACGGCCUUCUCUCUGUGCAUGCAUCCCUGGUGUCUCUUUUUCUCCUUAUAAGGACCCCAGUCACCUAAUUCACCCUUACUUGUGUCUUGAAGGCCCUGUCUCCAAAUGCAGCCACAGAGGGGUUAGGGCUUCAGCAUCUCUGGGGACACAGUUCAGUCCGCAGCACCAUUCCUGUCCCACCCUACAGAACAACAGACUGGCUGUGAUUGGAGCCUGGUCCUGAGCCUCCACCAAGCUGUCCCAGUGUUCAGGGCAGUGUGCUCCAGUGCCUUUGGGGUCGGUCUGACCACAGUGUGUAUGGGCUCUGGAAAUGGGAGGUUGUGUGGCUCCUGCAGCCAUCAGUCAGAGAACGCAUGGCCGUUCAGGGCAGGCCGGCCUUAGUCACAGUCCCCACGGCUGCUCUGGUUGCUCCUCCUGCCCUGGUGACUUCCUUUUCUCAACUCCCUUAGGCACACAAAGACCCAUGCAUGCUUCCUCCCUCCUUCACCAAUGUCCCCAGGGAAGAUUAAAACAUAGGUCCACAUGAAUAUCUAAGUGGGUGAGACAAAGAAGUUCUUAUUGUGCUCUUAAUUUCAGCUUGGUCCAAGUUACAGCUGCUGUGAGUCUCAUCUAAUACAUACCUAUAGUCAUAUAUGUUAUAUAUAUUUAUACAUGCUCACAUGUGUGUGCAUGUGUGUGUGUACGUGUGUGUAUACAAACUUCCUCUUUAAAAUAUUCCUGGAUCAUUUUUAACUUCCUCUUACUUUAAAAUAUUCCUGGAUAUAUCAUUGCUUAAAGUACAUAAACUUGCAUGAAAUGAUUCAAUGUUUCCAAGAUUCUCAAAAGGUUAGAAAAGGAAAUAAAUGUCUCCCAUCUUUCCAAAAUCUAUCAUUAUAACUAGGCAAUGUCUAGAUGUGGCUUAGUUCCUGUAGCAACUUCCGGGAAUGAGCAAAGUGAUCGCCUCCGAGGUGGUGCAGUGGCCUGUGGAGUCUAAGAGUUUAUAGCUUGAAAACUGCUCCUGUAACAAAAGUUGUAUUCAUAUCUGAGAUGUUAAAAGGUGAAGAUUUUUGCACAUUUUCUUUGUUAUGAUAAAAUACCACUUUUGAGUUUGCCGAUCUCACCACUGUGAACAACGUUAGUUCUCCACAUACGAUGGCAUUUGCCAGCUGUGCCCUCAGAUUUCAUUGGCUCCGUGUCUGGGUGAGUGGGAAUCAUUUAUGUGGGAAAUUCUCCAUUACAGGACAGUUAAUGCACCAAUGGCAUCAUUGUGAGGUUGGAGAUUUGGGGUGAUGAUCUGGCUGCUUGGCACCUCCAGGCUGGCAGACAGCACGGCUGUGGCCAGGAGGUAGCAGCACUAAUCAGGGGCAGCAGUGAUGAGUCCAGGUGUUCCUAAUGAGAAUUUGAUGUGAAUGAAACACAUUACGUGGCGGUCCCAAUUCAGAAUGGUUGCACUUAUUAUAUUUCUAUAUGGAAGUGUUUAUUUAACACCACAUUUGUCGGAAAUUACACAUAUCUCAAAGCCUGUAUAGGAUCCAACUGUUAACAGGGAGAAGAACCACUUCUAGAAAGUUGUUUUGUUUUUACCAAAUCCUCUAAAAUCGAUCAUAUUUUAGAUAAAUUGUUUAUUUGAAAACUUUCCUCUAUGACCUAUAAUUGGGAUUGAGUCUGAACUGACAAUAAAUAUAAUUACAACUGUUCAGUAGGUUGAAAAUAGAAUUUAUUCCUUAGUUUUGGCUACUUUGCAUGAAAAUGCUAAUUGUAUUUGCAUAUAAAGGAAGACUAAUUACUAAGACCUGAACCUAAAAUUGUAUUUUCCUAUGUUUAGCAAGCUGAAUUGCUUAUUAACAUCAACAAAAAUGGAUGUUUCUCUCAAGAAAAAAAAGUUAUGAGAGUGGUUCUUGGAACAACAAGCAUAGAGAUUGUCUGCAGAGGGUCUCUGACAGGCUUUUCAUAUCAUGAGCGGAGACAUUGUCUGUAGAGGGUCUCUUGGGGGUGUUUAAUGCCAUAUGCAUAGAUGUGUCUGCACAAGGUCUUUUAGGGAUGCUUAAUACCAUAUCCAAGUUUGCUUCUGAGGUCAUGAUCAGUGGAAAAUAGUGCAAAGUCCAGUUGAAAAUUGUAUUAGCUUCCAGUGGCUGCUGUAAGAAACUACCACAAACAUGGUGGCUAUGACAAGAGCUUUAAGGUUUCUGGAAUCUAGAAGUCCAAAUCAAUGUCACGGGGCUGAAAUGAAUCUCAGCAGAGGCUUACUCCCGCGAAGGCUGAAGGGAGAAUGUGUGCCUCGUCCCUUCCAGCUUCUGGUGGCUGCCGCUAUUCUCUGGCACGUGGCAACCCCGCUCCAAUCCCCGCCUGCAUUGUCCACGGCUUUCUCCUCUUUCUGAGUCAACUCUCCCUCUGCCUCUCUAUGAGAAGGACACCGUGAGUGUAUUUAGAGCCCACCUGGAUAAUCCAGAAUAACCUUCCCAACUCAAGAUCCUAACUUACACACAAUUACAAAGUCCUUUUUCCUGCUUAAGGUGAUAUUCACACAUUCUAGGGAUCAGGGCAUGGAUUUCCUUUGGGGGCCAUUAUUCAACCUUCUACAAAAAUUCAAACUGUCUGGUAAAAUUGAACUAAAGCAAGUGGGAGGGUGUGUCCAUGUCAAACCCCAAAUUCUGGGAACUCAGAAGCCUUGAAACAGGAAUCCCUAUAGAAUUUCCAGCACAGCUCAGAGCAGACCCUUAGAUAACCCACUGAUACCUGGGAUGGGCAGCUUGCCCCAUGCCUGGGAGUGAGCAGGUCGUGGGAAAGAUGGGCUGAUUCUGUAGGCCGGAAUGUAAUGAGUUUCACUGAGGUAUUUCAGGGAGCUUUGAUAACACUGCUUCCAGUAGUCCUGGGAUUCAAGCCCUGGAUGAAAUUUCCUUGAGUGGUUUUAUGUUGGAUCAAUUGUCUUUUCUUUAUGUGGCAACCUCAGAGAAUCUUUGAGAGUCUCUGAAGCCAUUUCAUAAUUCAUAGGUAUGGCCUUGGGCACUGUGCUAUUUUGUGGUGACUAAGUCAUUUGUCUAAAGAUAAAUAUUAAUAUUGAAUGAGAAGAAAUACAAUUUUUAAAGGGAUCUAGAAAAAAUAAAUGGAAAACUCAAUUUGUAAUUCAGGAUUAAAAAAGUCUAUCUUAUUGAUAAAAAAUGCUAAUUAACUUUUAUUACAAUGAAUACUUUUAGUUGUGGAAGAUAGUUUGAUUUUCUUAAACUAUUAUUACUUUUUAAUUGCUAUAUAGUUAAAACAGAUGAAAAUUAUUAUUUUUCCUCCUAUGUCUUAAUUUGUUCAUUUUUUAUUUGCGAUGUCAGUUGGUGUAGUUUGUAAAAUGCUUCAUGGUGUUACGUGUAUGUAUUUAAUGAUCCAUUUCUCGAUGUUAAUAAAAGUGUGCUUUAUGCUCAUAUGAAGGAUGAAGAGCACAGGGAAAAAACUUUACUUUAC